AUGUGGACUCGUGUAGUAAAUUCCCGUGCUUGAAUGGGGGAUCGUGUACAAACAUUCCUGAGAGUUACACUUGCUCUUGUCCUGAAAUUUGGAAAGGCACAAAUUGCGAGCAAGUUGCCUUAGUUUGCGCUCGCAAUCCAUGUGUGAACCACGUGCGCUGUGAAGACGGAUCUACAAUUUACACGUGUAUAUGUCAACCUGGUUGGUCUGGUCAGACGUGCGACAUCCCUGUCAGUUGUGGCGAUCCAGGUCCCAAUGUUAAUGCUAUUGUGACAGUCCCAGGUUUAACCCUCGGGAACGUAGCUAAAUAUGCAUGCGAUCGUGGAUACAAUGCCACUAAAGGAAGUAAAGAGCGAGUAUGUCAAAGUGACGGCACAUGGAGUGGCGAACCCAUUGUCU